rnacentral:rRNA from 1 species
GUCGAGCGGAAACGAUGGUAGCUUGCUACCAGGCGUCGAGCGGCGGACGGGUGAGUAAUACUUAGGAAUCUACCUAGUAGUGGGGGAUAGCACGGGGAAACUCGUAUUAAUACCGCAUACGACCUACGGGAGAAAGGGGGCAGUUUACUGCUCUCGCUAUUAGAUGAGCCUAAGUCGGAUUAGCUAGAUGGUGGGGUAAAGGCCUACCAUGGCGACGAUCUGUAGCUGGUCUGAGAGGAUGAUCAGCCACACCGGGACUGAGACACGGCCCGGACUCCUACGGGAGGCAGCAGUGGGGAAUAUUGGACAAUGGGGGAAACCCUGAUCCAGCCAUGCCGCGUGUGUGAAGAAGGCCUUUUGGUUGUAAAGCACUUUAAGCAGUGAAGAAGACUCUUCGGUUAAUACCCGGAGACGAUGACAUUAGCUGCAGAAUAAGCACCGGCUAACUCUGUGCCAGCAGCCGCGGUAAUACAGAGGGUGCAAGCGUUAAUCGGAAUUACUGGGCGUAAAGCGAGCGUAGGUGGCUUGAUAAGUCAGAUGUGAAAUCCCCGGGCUUAACCUGGGAACUGCAUCUGAAACUGUUAGGCUAGAGUAGGUGAGAGGGAAGUAGAAUUUCAGGUGUAGCGGUGAAAUGCGUAGAGAUCUGAAGGAAUACCGAUGGCG